rnacentral:lncRNA from 1 species
UUGGAUAUGACCCAGGAAAAACAAGGGAAUUUUAAUUGAAAUCACUAUUUAUCGGUUAUUUAGCCCAGUAAUAAAUGCAUAGUAAAUGCGCUCAAUUUAAUUUGAUUUCACCAGUAUAAAAGCACAAAAACCCUAAUUUGAUCAGGAUAAAAGCACACCAUUAGAUCUCACUGCCUCAUUCCUGACGGCUCAUUCAUUCACUCAGAUCUCCUCAGAUGCUAAUCUCUUUGAUUAUCAGGUGAAUUUCUAAAUUCUACUUAUGUUCCUAAAUCAAACAUACGCCUUUGUUUUUCUGUUCCUUUUCUGAGGUUAAUUAAAUUAAUUUCAUAUUCACAUUAGAUAGUCUUGUAUAAUUAUUUGAUCUCCAUUUUUAGAGAUGGCUGAAUUACUGCAAGAAUUUUUGUACAUAUAAACAAAUGAUAUUCUAUUGCAUUAAUACCUUCACCUUUAUGGUAAUCACUCCACAUUUAAAAAAAAUUCUAUUGGAUUCUAUUGCAUUCGAUUUUUAAUUAAAAUUAAUUUAUACCAAGAUAUUCUUUGUUGUGUUGAUUUUUUUUCUUGUUUUCUAAUUAAAAUUAAUUAUUAUCACGAUGGUUUAGAGGAUAUAGAAUAUUACUUCAACCUUACAAGAACGAGACUUUUUAUGUGGUUUUGAACUCUGCAAGUGAUGACAGAUUGACAGGGGCAGAAUUUUUUGUCAAUUUAUCGACUCGGGUGUUAAGUGUUCAACAAAUGAUUUCAAGUAAUUAGGCUAAAGAUUAUUUAAGGGAGUACAAUUUAAGUGUUAUUGGAGUGACCCAAUUCAGCAAGUCAAUUUAAUACAAGUCCAAUUAUAAUCUUUUUAGCAAAAGUCAACAUAUUUUACAUGGGGAAAAGGUCCAAAAAUACUCCUGAUGUUUACUCCGAUAUCCCACUUACACCCUAAACUAUUUUUUUUUUUCAAAAGUGUCCUUAACGUUACAAAUUUAAGGUCAAUUAUACCCCUCCCGUUAACAGACACGCCACCUUGACAAACGGAGCUGACACUUAAACAAAACUUGCUGACAAGGCAAUGCAUACAUGGAAAAUAGCAUGUUAUUAUUAUUAUUAUUGUUAUUAUUAUUUAUUAUUAUUAUUUAUUAUUAUUAUUAUUAUUAUUGAUUUGUCCUUUUCAUUUCAAAAUAUAAAAUUAGUGUUAGAGUUUUAAAUUCAAUUUAAAUAUUUUUUAACAAAAAAAUAUUAUAAUUAAUGAUAGUUUUUAUAUAAUUUAUAAUUAAUAUAAUUUACUAUAUAAAAUUAAUCAAAAUUUAUUUUUAAAAUACCUUAAAUAAUAAUAAUACUCUUCUCCAUCCCCAGGAAGAAUGUUAUCCUCUCUCUCCCUCUCUUCCUUGCCAGAUGACCAAAUCACGAUAAUUCAUUAGUAAGUUGCCUUUUUCCUAAAGAGAGGAUGAGAUACAAGAUUUGGAGCAAAGAAACUUUUGAGAGGAUAAGAUCCAACAAAAAGCCCGCCCAGUUUGGUCUCCCAUCUGCCACUCAUUCAUCAUUCCUGGCGAAAACUUGAAGUGUAAAAAUCCAAUUUUUUCGAUUAUUCGCCAUUUAUUGGGUUUUGAAGUGUAAAAAUCCCUUUUUUCGAAUCAGUCGUUUCUGAAUUGGACACAUUUUGGGGGGGUUUUGAGGUUGAAGGUGAGGUAUCGGGGUUUUUCAAAGUGGGGGGUUUUGAUUUGGGGUUUUGAGAGUUUUGCGUGUGAUGUUCAAAGAAAUGUUUGAUUCCGAAUUUGGAGGGCUGUGAUUGAUGCUGGUUUUGGUUGGAUUUCUUAGAUCCGCCGGCUGAUUUCUUCCGUGGAGCCAUUUCUGUACCUCCGGUAGUAAAUAUUCCUUUGAUUAUUGAUUUACAGUAUAUUUUUUUGAGGCUGCUCGAUGUAGAAGAAGAACCAGAAAAACUUGCACAAGUCUAGAGAGAGAAAUCUAGAGAGACAACGAGUAUCUGUAAAUAAAAAAUGUGCCUAAUCAGCAAUAAUUGUCCACGUGUAAAUAGAGUUAAUCUAGGUGGCUAGUCCGUUAACAGCAAGGGCAUGAGUGACCUGAUUUUUGUAACAUUAAGGGUACUUUUGGAAAAAAAAUUAAUUUAAGGUGGAAAUGGGACAUCUAUGUAUAUUUCGGGGGUAUUUUUGCACCUUUACCCAUUUUACAUGCUAGGGAAGUUUAAUAUUUGCAUGAGUUGGUUUAUUAAUGGGCUGCAGCUUCUUAAGUCAUCAGAUUUUAUAUGAGAUAUAUACAUUGCAUGGCAUCUGACAUCUUGGCAAGGUUGUUGUUCACAUGGGCCACACGUUUUUCUUCAAGAUUAUCAAACUUAUCAAAUUCAAGUGGGUUUUUCAACAAUAAUAAUGGAUUUACCCUGUUCAGCAUAUUAGCUUGGUGGGGUCACGUUUGUUUUUGUUUCAAUAAUCAAGCUGGAUCAUAUCAAAUCGAGUAGUGCACGGAUUUGGAUUAUAAAGGCAGUGACCUUCACGCGGCAAUGGAUUGUUUAUACUCGGCAAGUUCACGUGGUUAAGAAUUUUUAUUUUAUUUGGAUUUUUAAUUUUUAAGUUCUAUUGUAAUUAGGAUUUUUUUUCCAAAUUGACUUCUAUUUCCUUAUAGUAAUUAGGAUUAUAGUUUAUACAUUCCUAUUAGGAUUUGGAUUGUUUUGAGUAGUAUAAAUAGAGGUCCAAGUUAUGUAAUCAAACACAUUAUACAUUAUACAUUAUACAUUAUUCAUUAUUCAAUAUAUUUGUGAGGUUAUUCUCUACUUUUGGUUCUUUGA